rnacentral:rRNA from 1 species
UGAAGUUAGGCUAGCAAACCUGCUGAAUUUAAGCAUAUAAGUAAGCGGAGGACAAGAAACUAAACAGGAUCCCCAUAGUAAUGGCGAAUGAACAGGGAUGAGCUCAGCAUGGAAAUUGGGGCCUGUGGCUUUGACUUGUAAUCUUGUGAGGCAUUGCCAACAGAGGCGCAGAUGUAAGUCUCUUGGAAAAGAGCAUCAAUGAGGGUGAGAGUCCUGCUUGUCAUUUGCAGCCCCCCUGUGCACGGUGUGCCUUCUAAGAGUCACGUUCCUCGGGAUUGGAGCGCAAAGUGGGUGGUAACUUUCAUCUGAAGCUAAACAAUGGUUUGGGACCGAUAGGAAACAAGUACCAUGAGGGAAAGGUGAAAAGGACUUUGGAAAGAGAGUUAAAAGUGCCUGAAAUUGCUGAAGGGGAAGCGAAUGGAACCAGUGGCGCUGGGUGAGAUUGUCACACGCUGCAGGGAUUGGUUGCUGCAUCAGCGCAAGCGAUCUAGCGACUGCUGAAUUGUAAGUGUGUGGUGUGUCUUGCCUUGUGUGUCAUUGUGGGUUUAUGCAUUAAGACAAUUCAAAGUGCAUGGCAAUAUGUUUCUGAAUCUAUGAAUGUGUUUUGUUAUGUUUAUGCAUAAGCUUCCUAUUCUAUGUCUGGCUGCAGUGCUUGCCGUCCCCAUUUUUUUGGAUAGAUGAGCUGAGCAUGUCCUUCUGCACAGAUCUUGGCUAAAUGGUUCUAUUCGACCCGUCUUGAA